rnacentral:piRNA from 1 species
UUCUCUGUAUGUGCACAGACUC